rnacentral:rRNA from 1 species
AUUGAACGCUGGCGGCAGGCCUAACACAUGCAAGUCGAGCGAGCGGCGGACGGGUGAGUAAUGUAUGGGGAACUGCCUGAUGGAGGGGGAUAACUACUGGAAACGGUAGCUAAUAACGCAUACCAUCGGAUGUACCCAUAUGGGAUUAGCUAGUAGGGGGGGUAAAGGCUCACCAAGGCGACGAUCCCUAGCUGGUCUGAGAGGAUGAUCAGCCACACUGGCACUGAGACACGGCCCAGCCUCCUACGGGAGUCAGCAGUGGGGAAUAUUGCACAAUGGGCGCAAGCCUGAUGCAGCCAUGCCGCGUGUGUGAAGAAGGCCUUCGGGUUGUAAAGCACUUUCAGCGGGGAGGCGUUACCCGCAGAAGAAGCACCGGCUAACUCCGUGCCAGCAGCCGCGGUAAUUC